UACGUAGGUGGCAAGCGUUGUCCGGAUUUACUGGGUGUAAAGGGCGUGCAGCCGGGCUGACAAGUCAGAUGUGAAAUCCCGCGGCUCAACCGCGGAACUGCAUUUGAAACUGUCAGUCUUGAGUACCGGAGAAGUACGCGGAAUGCGUGGUGUAGCGGUGAAAUGCAUAGAUAUCACGCAGAACCCCGAUUGCGAAGGCAGCGUACCGGCCGGUCACUGACGCUGAGGCACGAAAGCGCGGGUAUCGAACAGG
rnacentral:rRNA from 1 species